CCACGCGACCCCAAAAGCCCCGUCGGCUGCCAAAGCCGGCGAUAACGACAAGGCCGACUCACCUCACUAGGCCGUUACUGCCCGCAAGGCCGACGUCCCAGGCUCGCAGCAACUCACGCCGAGCCCCGCCUUCCUGAGCUUUCCCACAAGUCCCCGCGCGCCGUCGCCCCGCCCCCUGGCGUCCAGGCGGAGCAUGCGCAGAAGGUCAGAUACAGUGCGCGGUUCUUCUCAGGGUACAAUUAGAGAAUUGACAGGUGCGUUAAAUCCGAAUCAGACGCCUUGCCUGCUUCCACUAUAACUAAACUUCACGGGAGAUAACCCCCAAACUGCAGAGUCACCCUGACUUGUUCCGAUUGCCAAAAUAAUAACUCCUUGACUAUUUCCUUGGACUCCCCUCAAGAUGAUUUCAUCCUGAAUAUUUGCCCUGCGGGUGUCUAUAGGUCACGACCUUUCUCCCCUGAGGAAGGACAAGAUGAGGCCCUGUUUCAUCCAUCUGAAUUUUAACUUGCCUGAGGUAUUCCUUCAUAUCUGGCAUUUUCCUAGCAUCUGUGACCUACAUCAUCUGUUUACAGCAGCUGCCCAGCACAGAAGUCAAGAACGAAGAGGAGAGAUCGAGAAGGCCGACCUCCUCCGUGAGCCACCAGAGUCCACGUGGGACCCGCAGACUCCUGUUCUGCAUGGGUUGCCCCUGCAGGACCGGCCCCAGCAAAGCCGAGCAGGUGAAACCGGCCACCUGCCUCACCCUGGGGUGCCCUGCGCUACCCAGUGCUCCCCAAGUGAUACUCUGGGCCUUGCCCCUCGCCCAGUGUCAUGAAAACUCCACUACUGCCUUGCCUCAGAGCUCUUGCUUUCUAGUUCUCCCUUGAAGUGACCAUUAGAAGGAUUAGAAUCCUGACCAUUAGACCAUUAGAAUCUUCCCAAGCUAUGUACCUACACAACAGGGGCCUUCUAUAGACAACCAGAGCUCAGGCAGGCUGCAGGAGGCAAUAUUUAGGGGUAGGGGACUCUCUGAAAAUCCUUCUAAAAAAAUUGCUCGCAGCUGACACUCCGUCCUGGCUGGAGGCCACCACUGGGAAGAUGCUUGGAGAGUCGCAGCUUUAUGACCAAGAGGGGUCGCUGCCCCCUCAUCUCCCGUUGCCUUGCACAGCCUAAGUCAAGACACUGAGAGUGGGAAUACAACCCAAACCCUUCUAGUCAAUAUCCCUGUUUAUAAAUCGGGAAAGCAAGGGAAAGAGAGGAAGGGACUUGCCCAAGGCCACGUGGCCGCUGAGGCCUAGGCCCCUCUGGCUCCACUCGCUGCCACCCACGGAGGGCUGCCCUGACACCCACCUGUGCCGCCUUGCGCUCUGGUUUACAGGGCACCUUUCUGGAAGGCAGAGUAAGCUAAAAAUGCCUUGCUGUCAUGACCCCAGCAAAAAGUCACCCUCCCUCCACCCGUCUGAUGGCUACAGUCCCCUUGGAGCCAGGAAAGCCUGCAUUCUCCUCCAUUCAGCAACCCAGCAACUGCUCCGGCUGCCCACACCUCACACCCCAGCCAGACAGCUGAGGCCUUGAGUUCUCCCCAAGGGCUGAGAACAUGUCGGGCAGAGUCAGAUGAGGCCCUAUACAUAGGGCUCCUUCACCCAGCGUCCACGCUGGUCAAAGUCUAAACAUAUGCAAGCAACUAGAAUCCCACACCUUCCCUUAAAAAGUGGAUCUGAGCUCUGGACGCAGCUUUCCUCUUCUUCUGGGGGUCACUGGGCCCAUGUUCCUUCCACCGUGUUCCACCUACCACCAGCAGCAUCCCUUCUGGCCCCAGCGGGGCCACCUGCUCCAGGAAGGCCCCAGGCAUGACUAACAAGAUGCUCUGAAAGCACAGCUGAGUCAGACUCAGCUUCUCAGAGGGAUCUGCUCUCAUCAUCACAGGGAGGGACAACAGCCGCUCAUCACCGGGGCCACAAGGCGCCAUGUCCAGCUGAGCAACAGGAGGGCGGGGCUCGGGUCUUGAAGAGUCCAGAAUCUCAGGGGCAGAUACCUGGAUUGUCUGGGGCAACUGGACAGGCCUAAGGGGACUGUUAGGUCAGGCCCAGGCCCCCCUCCGCCCACCUCCAGUAGCUGUGUGAGAAGCCUAGCACUUGUGUACGGGGCAGGGCGUGAGGAUACAUUUGGAAAUGCAUUUACAUUCUGAACUAUUGGUCCGUGGGAGGGAAGAAGCAAUCAAGAACAACCGUCAGGCCAGAGUUUGCCCCAGCCAGCAGCCACUAUACCUGUCUGAUGCUCAGGAUACUCAGUGGCUCUCACCAGUGGUAAGUGGAGAGAACCCCCAACUCUGCGAGGCAGAGCUGUGCCUAAAUGCUUGGGGGUGAGCAGUGAAACCGCACGACCCUAGGCACCCUCCACUCUCUGGACUUGCUCUCUGUGCAUCCUGUCCCUUCUGACAGCCUCAUUCUGUGUCUGUCUGUCUGUCUGUCUGCCUGGCUGGGUGGUCUGCUCCAUGAGGGCCAGGACUGCCUGUCUCAUUCACAGAGCCCCUACUAUGUAAGAUUUCAAACAUGAAGUGAGGGAGGAGGGAAUGUCCAUGCCUGGGCCCGUUCCUGUAAGAGAAGAAAAUGUUGGGGUUCAAGGGAGAUUGCAUCUGGAGUGCCAGGGGCACCAGGAAAGGGCAGGGGUGAGCUAAGGCCCAUGGCACGGGCCCAGCUGAUAACACACCCAGUCUCCACCAGUCCACCUGCUUAUUAGCCAGCUCUGUGACCUUAGGCAGAUCAUUCUGUGCCUCAAUUUGACUGUACAAUGGGGGUGGGGUGGGGCAAAAACACCUGCCUUAUUAUCAGCAUAAAAAUAAGAUAAUGGAGGUGAAAGUAUGCUGGAGAGGAUGAAAACUCUUCAAAUCUAAAUCAGCAUGGGAAAUACUACUGAGUAACAGCAAUAUUGAGAUUAAUCUUUGCUGCUUGGGAAGCCUAGCGGCCAGAGGCCCAGGGCUCGUAGAGAGAGAGAGGAGGGCUGGCUCCCAGGGAGAAAAGCUGGAGGAGACGGAAGGUCCGACGGUUGGGCUCCCGGCCUGCCCUACCCUUUCACCAGAUCCUGCUCGGCCUGCUGGAGAGGCGUGACCCUCCCUGGACGCACCCCACAAUUAGCGUCCCGGCCUUCACAAGGAAGCGAGGGGUCAGGGGUGAGGGAGGGGUGAGUACGUGGGUGUACUGGCGAGGAAGAGUGAUCUGCUACAUUCUGUUCCUCCUCUCGGAGCACGUGUGCACACGCGCGCACAUUCCCUCUCUGCUUUACCUCCUUUUGGGUAAGAGAGGGUUUUUUUUAAAAGGCCUUCUCUUAUACUUUCUUCUCCCAGCAUUCCCACGAGUUUCUCCACCCGCCACAGCUGUCCUGAAGCCGGGACACCACCUGGGAGCCCCCCGAGCACGGCCUGGGCGGCUAGGACACGAGAGGAUGCCCCCCAGCACCCCCAUGCCUAGGCGGUCAGGGAGACAGAGGUGGUGUGGCCCUAAGAGCAAGAAGCCACCGUGACCUGGAGCCUUUCCCUCCUCCAUGGUGACCCAGCCCAGGUACCGGGGUCUCCAGAGCCCCGUCUGUGACUUCCUGCCCGUCCUGGGCACGGUUUUCCUGGCAGAGCCUCUCCCAACAGGCUCGAAAGGCGUGUCCAAGGGACUGAGGCAGCCGGGAGGUGUGGGGUGGUUCAAGGCAGAAGGGACAUCGAUGUGGCCCCAGAGAAGACAAGUAGGAAUGCUGACAAGGACACCAGCCCCGACCACGCUUGGCUUCCACGCUGUCUUUGCAGAGCCGGUCUCGCCCCCGGGUCUGAGAGGAUGGUGAAGGGCUGUGGCCGGCAGGCCGGUCUGGCCUUUGACCAAACCCCAGCAGACAAUGCGUUCAGGGGGGAAGCGAGCCCCUGGGAGUCCUGACUCACCAAGGCUGGGGCCUCAUGUCAUGAUUGCUCAGCUCUGGCAGCUUCCGUGCCCCGUGGUCCUGCAUCUCCACCCACAGGCAAGGGAACGGGCUUGGGCACCCUGCCACCUGCCCUACCCAGGCUCUCCCUGGAGGAGUGGGCUCUACCCAGCUUCACCCUGUUGCUGCCACCCACCCCGUCGGGCCGAGGCCGUCUCCUUGGCCCUUGAGGCAGAGCUAUAGUUCGACUUGCUUUUCACUUAGAGCUGGACUGAGACCAUCACACCCACCUUACCCAUGGAGAAAUGGAAGCGGAGAACUGUUCCUUAACUUGCUCACGUUCACUCAGAAACCUGAGGUACGAUCCCAGCUGUGCCGCCUCCUGUGAAGGGCUCUAAUUCUCUCCGGAAGCAGUUUGUGUGUGUGUCCAUGACCACAGGGAGAAGAGAGGUCUGGCAGUGCAGGGGUGAGGGGAGGAGGACUUGAGCGAGUACGGAGCCACACCAGCUGUCUAGUCCACCUCCAGGUAUGGGCCCAUGGCCUCCAGACGCCCCAGGGCCCGGCUGCUCAAUACCUACUCUGGGGUCAUCCCCAAGGCCAAGAGAUCCUUCUCCAGGCCAGACAGGGCACCUCCCCCCGCUGAGAGGAAGGAGGCCCUGGGGAGAGAGGGGGCUGCUGCAGGGCAGGGGAGGGAAGGACUGAAUGCUGACGGAGCUUGCUGGGACCAUUCUCAUCCCUGAGAAGAGACUGGAUUGCCCGGGAUCCGGCUGUGGCUCAGAAAGGGAUGGGCUCCCCUCCGAAGCCUCGGCCUCAGUGUUCUCUACGCAUCACCUGCCGCUUCUCUGAGGCCCCGGUUCAUGGUGAGGACCACCCAACAGGCUGAGACGUGCUGCAGGCAGAGAGGGACAGCAAGUGCAGCCAGGAGGCGAGGGUGGAGGAAGUUAGUCACAGCUGGGCUGUGACAGUGCUCGCAGACCACACUGGAGAGCCAAGGGUCGCCCCGGCCGGCCACUGACAGGGGCUCCAGGCUCCAGCAGCCGCUCCGGCCCCUGUGGUCAGGGGGUUAGGUUUGGAUGGCGGUCGGCCAUCUUGGCGCCCUGCCUGGACCCCAGAGACCAGCGGGACCGUUUGUCAGCCUCUCUGGGUCCACUCUGGAGCGCAGCACCUCCUCCUCAGCUCUUGAGUUUGGGAGGGUGUCGCCUUCACUGCCAUGCCCCAACAGGGCUGGCCUGGGAACACAGCAUCCCGGUUGAUUCAUGUUAAUGGUAAGGCUCCCCAGGGACCAUCACGCCUGCCCCCCUGCCCGUAGGAACAGCCCUGGCCACACCCGACUGUUUAUCUCCUGUGCUCUGGGAAGAAAAGCAGGACGGCCCCUCCCCUGCACCCCUCCCCAGGCGGCCACCCUGCCCCUGCCACACACCCGCCCGCCGCACAGAUGUGACAGGCUCCCUCUGUCCGCUGCGAAAACAAACCGCCUACAGAUGGCCUGACAACAAAGCCACAAGACACAGAAUCUGGGAAAAACCUGGUGUGGAGAGCUCUCUAUUGAACCCAGAGUCCCAGCACCUGCUCUGCUCUCCCACCCACUCCAGGGCCUCUCUGCCCCCCAUUCCUUGGCCUUGGGCCCCGGCUCAUUCCAUUCCGAGGUCCUCCUUGGCCACCCGUCAUCACAGGGGACAGCUGCCUCCACGUUGCCCGCUCCAGGGCCUUGAGUCCACUCUGCGGAGAGCCCUGCCCAGCUGUGGCCAGCCUGUGGGCCUCUUGGCCCCGGGCGUGCCCUGGCUUUCCUGACGGGAAGUGCCCGCUCGGGCCCCAGCCUCCUCACGGCUCCAGCUCCCGGGACAGGCGGGAGAGUUCCCGCUGGUUGUCGAUGACCUUCAGCUGCUGGACAUAAGCCCAGGUGCUGGCUGGACUCCGGGUGUUCAGCGACUGCUCGGAGCCUGUGGGGGUGGGGGAAGGGGAGGGCGUAGGGGAGAGUGGUCAGGGGGGGUCGCCCAUGCCACUUGGGAGUGGGGGUGGGGAGGAGAGUGGGGGGGGCACCCAUGCCACUCGGUAGAGCCCAUCCCUUCUCCCACAAGGAGCAAACGACCCUUGCUGCCCUCCACCCCCCCACCCGGCCACUUCCUACAGCCAGUCCUGAAGACUGUCCACCCCCCCAGUCUGGAGCAGAAGGGUGGUUAAGAGCUCAGACUCAGAAAAAAACAGGUCCCCAAGAUUCCAUACAGCAUAGUACUCCUUUUACUAAAUUCAAAAACAACUGAAACUAAAGCAUAUUUUGUGCUCAUAACAUAUCUACGAAGCACGUUAAAGAGAUAUGGACACGUCCACGUGUGUGUAUAUAUGUCUAUAUAUUUAUAAAUAUAUCUAAAUAAAUAUAUUCUAGCGGCACAGGAAGAGGAAACGGUCUGUAGGGAGGGGAAGCUCUUGUCAAUGUGCUCACACUUGGCUGGGGCCCAGCGGUGUUCAUCAUAUUAUCACAAUAUAUACAUACAUAAAAUAAAAUAAAGGGCCGAUGAUGACAGUGUUGCAUGAA